UGGCGGCGUGCCUAAUACAUGCAAGUCAACGGCUUUCUAUGGAAGCUUGCGUUCCACUGAGAAGAUAGUGGCGAACGGGUGAGUACAACGUGGGUAACCUGCCCAUAAGAGGGGGAUAACAUCCGGAAACGGGUGCUAAUACCGCAUAGUUUUCUUGAUCGCAUGAUUGAGAAAGGAAAGACGGCCUUUGUGCUGUCGCUUAUGGAUGGACCCGCGGCGUAUUAGUUAGUUGGUGAGGUAACGGCUCACCAAGACGAUGAUACGUAGCCGACCUGAGAGGGUGAUCGGCCACAUUGGGACUGAGACACGGCCCAAACUCCUACGGGAGGCAGCAGUAGGGAAUCUUCCGCAAUGGACGAAAGUCUGACGGAGCAACGCCGCGUGAGUGAAGAAAGGUUUUUCGGAUCGUAAAACUCUGUUGUCAGAGAAGAACAAGUUGGAGAGUAACUGCUCCAGCCUUGACGGUAUCUGACCAGAAAGCCACGGCUAACUACGUGCCAGCCGCUGC
rnacentral:rRNA from 1 species